AUGCACGCUGGCGGCGUGCCUAAUACAUGCAAGUCGAGCGAACAGACGAGGAGCUUGCUCCUCUGACGUUAGCGGCGGACGGGUGAGUAACACGUGGAUAACCUACCUAUAAGACUGGGAUAACUUCGGGAAACCGGAGCUAAUACCGGAUAAUAUAUUGAACCGCCUGGUUCAAUAGUGAAAGACGGUUUUGCUGUCACUUAUAGAUGGAUCCGCGCCGCAUUAGCUAGUUGGUAAGGUAACGGCUUACCAAGGCGACGAUGCGUAGCCGACCUGAGAGGGUGAUCGGCCACACUGGAACUGAGACACGGUCCAGACUCCUACGGGAGGCAGCAGUAGGGAAUCUUCCGCAAUGGGCGAAAGCCUGACGGAGCAACGCCGCGUGAGUGAUGAAGGUCUUCGGAUCGUAAAACUCUGUUAUUAGGGAAGAACAAAUGUGUAAGUAACUAUGCACGUCUUGACGGUACCUAAUCAGAAAGCCACGGCUAACUACGUG
rnacentral:rRNA from 1 species